AGCGGAUUAGCUCAGCUUGGUAGAGCACUUGGUUUGGGACCAAGGGGUCGCAGGUUCGAAUCCUGUCUUCCCGA
rnacentral:tRNA from 1 species